ACACUCAAAAAAAUGAUUUUUGCUCUUUGUUCAAUUUAAUUAAUUAACAUGAGCACAUACAACAUAACUCUUUGUAAAAAUGGUGUCAACUUAAUUAUAUUUAACAGAAACAAUGUAAUUUUCAAAAAAUUAGGUUUACAAAAUUUUUUUAAAUUGAGUCAACAAGAAUAUUUUUUGUUCAUCUUAACCGGAUGCACGUCAUCAACGGAAACGGAUGCAGAUGGAUUGCUCAGCAGCUAACAUGUGAGUUGGGUAAGUGGCCUUUUUUUCUUGUCUAUCACCGUCCAUCUAAUUUUAUUUAAUUAACAAACUAAUUAAAAUAUGCUUUCUUAAUAUCUUGUUGCAUACCAGAAAGUUAUUUUUCUAUAAGCACUGUAUGAAUAUAGCUCUUAAGUGUGUCAUUUGUAGCUGAUGUUAGGUUUCUGGAUUCAGCACGUGGUGCAGACUUUCUUUUUUUCCUAAAAGUAUCAAAUAACGUUAAAAUGAAGAAUCGCGGAACAAGAGAGAACAGAACACCCUUCAGUACCAUGAAUUAAUGUAUAAAACCAGGGCCAUAAGACACGACUGAUAAUUAGAAAUUGCCAAAUUGUCCCCUAGGAUUUUAAAUUCUUACUCUGCAUUCAGCUGUUGUUAGGGUGACAAAGUUUCAAAUUUAUAUUUUAGGUCUUCCUCAUCUAUAAUUUAUAAUUUAUUGCUCGUCAUUGUUAAAACGAUUGAGAUGCCAAUCAAAGCGCACAGCAGCCAAUCCAAGGCUUUAGAUUAGUCACGCUUGUUAAAGUCACGUGCUCUUGACUGAAUUCACCGCGUUCACGGAGUCUCUCGUCUUAAACAACAAAUAAUGUUUUAGCGACAUAAAUGAAUUUCAUCGGAUCACAACCCUUCCUUUACACUCCAAAAUUCAUGUCCAAACUGGAUCUGUUCUCUGAUGAUCUGCUAAAAGUGUUUACCAAAAAUGGUGGAGUGUUUAGAAAAAAGAUUCAAGAUGUGAUGCUGCCAAUGUCUCAGACCAAGCAAGAGUGCAUUCUCAAGGGGCUAUGCAUCUACCUGAAUGAAGAUGAAUAUGAUGGAGUAUUUGGAUGAUGACCCUGCAAGAACCGAAGCGGACAUAAAGAAGACCUUUUAGGGAUUCUGUGAUGUAAAGCAUGAAUUUGCUGAUGCAACAGAAGGCCCCAAAGAUAUCUGCAUUGUGCUGGAAGAUGUGGAGGUGCUUUCUGGUUUAGGUAAUGUAGCAUUGGCUACAGCCAUGCUACUUGGACUAAUAUACUCUUUAAAUCUUACUCAUCCACAGGAGAUCCACUACACUUUUAAGGUGCUCCAAAAAAUGAUUCUCGAGCUGAACUUGUGUAAAUUGUCUGCCAAAGCACAGGCGCAGAAAACAAAGCUCUUCACUUAGGUGUGCUGUGUUUGAGGAUCCCUUUGUGAAUGCUGUUUUAUUUCUUUGUAUGCUCAUGUGAUUUUGUUGUAUCUGAAUUUUUGCAUGAUGAGCAGAGGUGAUUACGUCUCUCAAUCACAUUUAAUAUCAUGUUUAAGAAAACAAAAUAAAAUAACAUUUUGUUAUAUUCUUAUAUGCUCAUGUUUUAUUUGAAUUGUCAUUUUUGUAACUUAAUGAGCAUGUUUAAUUGCCAUAUUUGCAGUUUUAAGCAAGAAGACACUCAAGGUUAAAUGUGCUCAUGUUUUAAAUACAGAUUUUUACUAAAUGGAUUGACUUUUAACAUAUUGACUUUCUUCA